AUUUUAUCCCUUGGCUUCCCCCUAGGGUUGAGGAGAAAGAGAAGUUGGUUCCUUACACGGACCCAAACUGGCAAGAGAAAAGAGAGGAGGUCUUAGUUAACAGGAUACAACAAAUUAUAGAUAAGCAUAUUCAGAAAAGGAAGAUUGAAGAAGUGGGAGAUGCCAUGAAAUCUUUGGAUUUCAAAAGAGAGAUUUAGCACUUUUCCGUCAA